rnacentral:lncRNA from 1 species
GAUUAACCAAGCAUGAUCACCCUAAGUAUAAAUGGCCAUAAGGAUCGCCCAACACGGAUUAACCAAGCACGAUCCAUAUAUAGUAUGGUCCCCCAAUACGAAUUAACCAAGCAGGACCAUUAGUGACCCCCCAAUGCGAAUUAACCAAGCAGGGUCAUAGUCCCCCACUAGCCCUCAAUUUACAAAACAUUUCAAUAUGCAAUUCGAAUCACUUUUUCACAAAUAUUACCAAUCCAUGAAUCAAAUCACAUUUAAUAAAAAUAGAUAGAUGGCCAAUUAUAAAAGAAUCACAUUUUAACAGAAAACACAAUUAAAAAACCAUGUCAUAUCCACAAAGGAUAUUAAUAUAAGAAAACAGGGUAAUAACCAUAUCACAUAUAUUAAAGUCACUCACCGAGACAAGACCGCAAGGCCUCACUGAGUCUCCAGUAAUACUAAUUUUAGUAAUUCAAAUGGUUCAAGACCUGUUAACCAAGCGUCAACGGUGGGGUCCACACCCUAGCAAUUUAAUCCCGAAGAUUCGCACAUCAUAAUCUAGAUCCGUAACUUCCUAAGGUCCACAUUGUGCUCAAAAAACAACAUUCUAAAAUCUCAUCGCGAUCCGACGUUCAGAUCUCCACCAAUUGCUAGAAUUAGGUGGCAGUUAACAAUUAAUUUUACUAACUUAGAAAUCUAAUUCGGGAAGAUCCAUACAUCGGAUUUCCAAUUCGUAAAUUCCAGUUAUCCUCAAAUAUUAUGUUCUAUAACGCAUUAGGGUUUGGUGACAAUCCAACAGUCUGAUAGUCGAAUCAUAAAAUGAUCAAGUAACGUACUUCACCAUACUAGGUUCAAACUAUCGAACUAUAUCAAACGGUUAUCAAUUUUGAAACUAGAACAUUGAAUUCAACUUAAAAAGACAGCGUCGGCCCACUGGCCCUACGCCGCCGCACAUGGCGGCCGGCAGGCCCGAUUCGCCAGAAAUACCAACUAUUUCCAAAAUUUACCAAAUUUUACAAAAAUGAAGAUCUCAAUGAGUAGAUCAAGUUUUAUACCUAUGGCCAAGUCCAAUUUGACCGGGAAAGGCCCCAAUUCCACUUAAAUUAACCGGAACCCUAGUAAUGGUUCCACUUCAAUUCGAUAUUUCCAGUGUUCCGUCGCCCCAAAUUAUGUUUGGGGUUUGUUCCUGGGACCAAAACAAGUUGAUUGAUGGUGGUACUCGAUGGUGGUACCUGCAAAAUGGACCGAUCAAUGCCACACCCCAAACGAACCCGUCGGCAAGCUCUAAGAGAAAUCAAAGCCAAUUUCACUAAAUUUAUGGGUGAAAAAUGAAGAAAAGGGAUCAGGGUGUUUCCUCAAUAUUUCCCCCGAUGAAAUUUCACCGGAAAAAGGGGCCAGAAGGA